CCUAGGGGGGCUGCAGUGGGGAAUAUUGGACAAUGGGCGAAAGCCUGAUCCAGCCAUGCCGCGUGUGUGAAGAAGGCCUUCGGGUUGUAAAGCACUUUCAGUGGGGAAGAAAGCCUUGGGGCUAAUACCCUCGAGGAAGGACAUCACCCACAGAAGAAGCACCGGCUAACUCCGUGCCAGCAGCCGCGGUAAUACGGAGGGUGCGAGCGUUAAUCGGAAUUACUGGGCGUAAAGCGCGCGUAGGCGGUCUGAUAAGCCGGUUGUGAAAGCCCCGGGCUCAACCUGGGAACGGCAUCCGGAACUGUCAGGCUAGAGUGCAGGAGAGGAAGGUAGAAUUCCCGGUGUAGCGGUGAAAUGCGUAGAGAUCGGGAGGAAUACCAGUGGCGAAGGCGGCCUUCUGGACUGACACUGACGCUGAGGUGCGAAAGCGUGGGUAGCAAACAGGAUUAGAUACCCGAGUAGUC
rnacentral:rRNA from 1 species